GAGGGUAUAGCUCAGUGGUAGAGUGCAUGUUUAGCAUGCACAAGGUCCUGGGUUCAAUCCCCAGUACCUCCA
rfam:Camelus ferus unplaced genomic scaffold scaffold2679, whole genome shotgun sequence.